rnacentral:rRNA from 1 species
GUAGGUGGCAAGCGUUGUCCGGAGUUAUUGGGCGUAAAGCGCGCGCAGGCGGUUCUUUAAGUCUGAUGUGAAAGCCCACGGGCUCAACCGUGGAGGGUCAUUGGAAACUGGAGAGCUUGAGUACAGAAGAGGAAAGCGGAAUUCCACGUGUAGCGGUGAAAUCCGUAGAGAUGUGGAGGAACACCAGUGGCGAAGGCGGCUUUCUGGUCUGUAACUGACGCUGAGGCGCGAAAGCGUGGGGAGCAAACAGGAUUAGAUACCCUGGUAGUCCACGCCGUAAACGAUGAGUGCUAAGUGUUAGGGGGUUUCCGCCCCUUAGUGCUGCAGCUAACGCAUUAAGCACUCCGCCUGGGGAGUACGGCCGCAAGGCUG